rnacentral:rRNA from 2 species
CACCGCGGUUAUACGAGUAACCCACAUUAACACUCCUCGGCGUAAAGAGUGAUUUAAGAAAAUCUUUAAGGACUAAAGUUAAGACUUUAUUAAGCCGUCACACGUACUCAUAAACAGAAUAAUCAACCACGAAAGUGACUUUAUUUAUAUAGGCAUCUUGACCUCACGACAGUCGAGUCC